AUUUAAAGUCUCUAUGUCAAGUGCUCUGUUCACUAUACUGGGACUGAGAGUAUUCAAUUUGUUUUUGCUUAAGUCUAAUAAAGAUAACUUCUCAUUUUCUUGAACAGUCAUGAAAUCAAAAUUCUCAACCGUAUUUCCAUGUCACUAAAUGUCGAUGUAUCAAUUUGCCUUAAACCGUUUCUUUCCAUAUACAGUCUUCUUAGAUUAUGAAGCGUCUUCAAACUACCGAAAGGAAUUUUUUGGAUGCCGUUAUUCGAAAUGUCAAGGGAUCUUAGUGACGGUAAAUCUAGAUCAGGCGAAGGUGUAACGGGCAAACUAGUGAUUUGAUUUCUCUGCAAGUAUAGCUGUUCCAGCCCUCUUGGCAGUCCCGGAACAAAUUCUAUAAGCUUAUUGAAACUCGCAUCUAAUUCAUAAAGAUUUUCGAGAUUCCUAAAUGUUGCAGGAUGCAAAGAUACCAGUGCGUUUCCUGAUAUAUUGACGUAUUCAAGUAGAGGUAUUUCUAGAAAUGUUAUUGGGUCGACUACUUUUAAUUGAUUAUGGCUAAAGUUUAUGCGACGCAAAGCAGGUAAGUUGUACAAUAGUUUUGGCUGUAGACGUUGAAAAUAAUUAUAUGACAAGUCCAAUCCUUUGAGUGCAGGUAAAUCCCAAAAUGGGCCUUCAUUAACAUCGGAUAAAGUAUUGUUGCUCAAAUGUAAUUCUCGUAGAGAGGGCAUCGCCACGAAUGAAUCGGUUUGUAUAAAUUUGAUGCUAUUCUUGUUUAAAUGCAAUCUUUCCAAACUCGGGUGACCUCUUAGUGCACCCCUAGGUAUUUCCUGAAGAAGGUUGUCACUUAAAUCGAGAAAUUUUAAUCUCGGUAACGCGUCGAGCAACGCACGAAAUUCAGAUAUAUGUCUGAUUUCAUUACCAAUGAGUGUUAAUUCUUCGACGCCACUGCCUGAAUGUUGUAAGAAUGAUUCAGGAUGGAUUUGUCUAAUUUUAUUGUAAUUUAAAUCAACUAUCCUCAGUUUCGGCACUCUGUGGAAUGCUCCAUGAUGUAUUAUGCUUAUGUUAUUAUUUGCCAGAAAUAGGUUCUCCAGCAUGGGCUGGUCCACAAAAGCACCCUCGUUCAAUUUAUCGAUUAUAUUGUGAUUUAAGUUCAAGUGUGAUAGCGUAGAAAUAUCUCUAGUAGCUCUACCAACCAUUGUGGCGUCUAAGAUCAUGUUGUUGCUUAGGGAUAGUUCACUUAAAGACGGUAUUAAGGAAAACGCCCUCAUGUGUAUAAUAUUAAUUCCACAAUUUGUGAUUUCUAAUCUCCGAAGUUUCGGUAAGUUAUAAAAUGCAUUUUCUUUUACAAUGCGAAGAAGUGGACUGCCUUGUAUGAAGAGCUUGUCUAAAUUUGGUAAGUUCUCAAAUGUAUUUUCAUUAAUUGCGUGCAAAUUUUCAGACUGUACACUAAUAUAUCGCAGUUUCUGCAAAUUUUUGAAUAUCGGUAUGCGCUUCAAACUUUGUGAUUGUAUAGUUAUCGCCUGAAGAUUUUGGAGCUUUAACAAGCUGUCUGCAGGAAAAUUCCUUAAUUCAUUUUCAACAAUGAAAAUUUCAACUAAAUUUUUCUCUUGUGUUUCUAACCACGCAGCCGAUAAUCGUUCUAAUCCAUUGUACCGCAGCAUAAGUCUCAGAACUGGCACAUGUUGAAAUAUUUUACCAGGCAUAGAAGGAAGGUAAUUAUUUUCUAUAAUGAGCUCAUCUAUAGGUUUCCCAAUAGACUCUCCUAUUCUUUGGAGACCUUUUGAAACUUGCGAUAAGUCGCUGUGCGUACACCUGUGGGGAAACAAAACACAAAUUCAUGUUAAUUAAUAAAUACAUAUAUGAUAUUGUACAUACAUCAUGGCAAAGCGAAUUAUAUAGCGUUAUAGACCUAAUGUUGAAUAAUGUACUGAAACUGACCAUAUUUGGAUAUCCUCAGUUCGAUUAGUGCAAAUACACGGAAGUAUAGUUUCUGGAGAUGGACAUAUUGAUUGUCCUGACGUCGCUACAACUAUUACGAGAAAUGUAAAUGAAAUCUUCGACAAAGUUUUAGUAUCCAUUCCUCUCUAUUUCUUUUUAGGAUCAUUGUAUCAUAGUACGUACGAACACGAAUCUUGUUUACCUGCGAAUAUAAUUAAUUGAAAUAAAAAUUAUUAUUUUUUGGCACUUUAGUUCUACGGUUAAUGAAUUGAAAACAUAAAAUAAAUAGGUAAAUAAUUUAAGCGACGAUGGCUUUCAUUAAAGAGCAGUUAAUAGAAUGAACGGAAUACGCGUCAAGGACCGGUAUGCCACGACUGAAAACAAUGCGAAUACAGAAACAAUAGUUUGGGUACAACGCUCCGCUGCUCUUGGCACUUUCACUCAUUCAAUUCGCGAUCUAUGUGACCAACGUGCAAUAUACUUUACAUCACAUUCAAUUACGCAAUUCCUUCGAAGGCUUUAAAACUUUGUAGGUCAGACUGCGAUUGUUGAUUUAGUUACGGCACUGGUUACAGUGAGUAUUCGUUUUGGCAUUUAGUUAUGUACCUAUAAUGAAUUAUUAACGGGGCGGCGCGGACGUAACCGAUUUUCUUUUUUUUCUUAUCAUAAUCUAUCUUCAUAUUUCGAUAUGCAUUUUGUUAAAUACCCAUUAUGUGGUGUUGUAUGAUUAAUGACAAAAAAGAUCCAAUCAAUUGAAGGGUUUGGCAACUGCCUGUCCCGUCCGCAGAAAUUGGAGAUGUAUGAUCAAAAUGUAUUUUUUUUUUACAUUUAGCAGUAGUAUCUGGUAUUCAUAGACAUAUUAUUAUAAAAAUAAUGAAAGUAAUAGCAAAGUAAAGUAAAAGUUAUUAGGUACUUUAUAUACUAUAUAAACAGAUAUUAUAUAGUAAAUUAUUUUCUAAGUAAUAUAAAUAAUAAUAGUUUUAAAAUAAAGUAUAAAUAUUACAUUUCAAAUAAACAUCUGCGUGUAUUAAAUUACAUAGUUUACAAUCAUUGCUAGCUCUCUUCUUAAUUGUUUUUGCAAUUAAAUUGACAUUUUCACCGCCAAUGUUCUUGUUAAAGCCCGCAUCGCUUAAUAGGCAUACAUACAUCUAAGAUACAUACUGAACAAACAUGAGCGGCCAACGGGACAAAUAUCAUUAUGUUACCGCUAUCGCACUUAUCUCUAACUGUCGCACACAUCAUCCCGUAGCAUGACUGCACAAGGCGCAUGUGUAGAGAGUAGGUAAUAUAAUUACGCUAUCAAAUAAAUAAAUUAUUUUUUA